rnacentral:rRNA from 1 species
GACGAACGCUGGCGGCGUGCUUAACACAUGCAAGUCGAACGAAGCUUGAUUACGGAUUCUUCGGAUGAAGUAUGAUAUGACUGAGUGGCGGACGGGUGAGUAACGCGUGAGUAACCUGCCCUUCAGAGGGGGAUAGCGUUUGGAAACGAACGGUAAUACCGCAUAAUGUAUUUUGACCGCAUGAUCGAAAUACCAAAGAUUUAUCGCCGAAGGAUGGACUCGCGUCUGAUUAGGUAGUUGGUGGGGUAACGGCCUACCAAGCCGACGAUCAGUAGCCGGACUGAGAGGUUGAUCGGCCACAUUGGGACUGAGACACGGCCCAGACUCCUACGGGAGGCAGCAGUGGGGAAUAUUGCACAAUGGGCGCAAGCCUGAUGCAGCAACGCCGCGUGAAGGAAGACGGUUUUCGGAUUGUAAACUUCUGUUCUUAGUGAAGAAUAAUGACGGUAGCUAAGGAGCAAGCCACGGCUAACUACGUG